AUUGAACGCUGGCGGCAGGCCUAACACAUGCAAGUCGAGCGGAGCGGCGGACGGGUGAGUAAUGCCUAGGAAUCUACCUGGUAGUGGGGGAUAAAGUCCGGAAACGGGCGAUAAGACCGCAUACUAGCAGAUGAGCCUAGGUCGGAGUAGCUAGUUGGUGGGGUAAAGGCCUACCAAGGCGACGAUCCGUAACUGGUCUGAGAGGAUGAUCAGUCACAAUGUAACAGAGACACGGUCCAGACUACUACGGGAGGAAGCAGUGGGGAAUAUUGCACAAUGGGCGAAAGCCUGAUGCAGCCAUGCCGCGUGUAUGAAGAAGGCCUUCGGGUUGUAAAGUACUUUCAGCGGAGAGGCGUUACCCGCAGAGGAAGCACCGGCUAACUCCGUGCCAGCAGCCGCGGUAAUUC
rnacentral:rRNA from 1 species